CCUACGGGGGGCAGCAGUGGGGAAUAUUGCACAAUGGGGGAAACCCUGAUGCAGCGACGCCGCGUGGGUGACGAAGUAUUUCGGUAUGUAAAGCCCUAUCAGCAGGGAAGAAGAUGACAGUACCUGACUAAGAAGCCCCGGCUAACUACGUGCCAGCAGCCGCGGUAAUACGUAGGGGGCAAGCGUUAUCCGGAUUUACUGGGUUUAAAGGGUGCGCAGGCGGAUUUUUAAGCCAGCGGUCAAAUCGUGGGGCUCAACCCCAUCCAGCCGUUGAAACUGGGGAUCUAGAGUGUGCGAGAGGUAUG
rnacentral:rRNA from 1 species